rnacentral:lncRNA from 1 species
UUCACUUACUUCCUGUCCCUUGCCCACAACUUCUUCUUCUUCUCUCGUCUGGACAACUUCAGUUUCCUCAUCUCCCAUGUCGACAACUUCUGUUUCUUCCUCUCCAUUUUCCACAACUUCAGUUUCCUCCUCUCUCUUGUGGACAACUUCAGUUUCUUCCUCUCUAAUGCCGCCAAUUUCAUUUUCUUUCUUUCCCAUGACGACAACUUCGGUUUCUUUCUCUACAUUGUCAACAGCUUCAGUCUCUUCUUGCUCUCUCAUGUCGACACCUUCGGUUUCUACCUCCUUUACCAUGUCGACACCUUCAGUUUCUUCCUCUCCCAUGUCCACA